rnacentral:lncRNA from 10 species
UGCAAGAGUAGUUAAAAUGUGUUUAUUCAUUUACAAACCCAGUAACAUGAGAAGAAACUCAGUGGAAACCUUGCUUGGUGGAGACAGUGCACAGUGUUAGUGCCACAUUCACAGGGGCAGAAAUGCUCGGUCACCCUGUGCACCCAAAGUCACCCAGGAUCUCUAGAAAAGAUCCCACUUACUGAAGUGCCUCGGAUGUCUUCAGGGCCAGAUUGUAACUACACAGGAACAGGGAAGGGCUAAGCUGAACUGCAAAUUGACAAACACAAACGAUGAGUCACAGGACUCUACAGUAGUUACAAUGGCAUUUUUAUAUGUCCCAAGUGUUGACUGGAGAGUAAAGUGUUAACUGAGCUGCUAGAACACCCUUCACUGAAAGAGCUUUCUACCCCACGCCCAUUGUUCCGAAGAAGGAGAGGCUAUGUGGGGCGGAUGGGAACCCACACACCGAGAUGAACUUUUCUCUUUCUUCCAAUCUGCACCCACCAUCUGACAUUCUGGAGUGUAAGGCACUAGAACCUGGCUUAGAGAAUAGUGGGGCUCUAAGCUCCAGUUCUUGGUGUGCAAAGGAAAUUCUGACAUACAUCUUUUGAAAGAGAUGCUAAAAAACCCUCCCUAUCUCCUGUAAUUUCUGUCUUUGACAGACAGGAAAAUAAGAAGGCAGAAGAUGGUCUGCAAAGGAUAAAAACAGGUGCAUCUAAGAAUGAGAAAAAUGGCUCAUGAAGAAAUGUGUAACUCUCCAAGAGAUGCAGACACUCUGCUCAGAGAAGUCAAGAACCAUAAACAACUCUUCAUGUUUCAUGGACAAAGGGAAGGCAAAGGCAUACAAAAAUACUCAGUUGUCUUGAAAAGUGUACUGGUAGUGAUCAGGGCUACAAAGGCGAGCCCUGUACUGACAAUGGAGGAGCCUUACAACUCAGCACCUUAAAUUGUUGGCCUGAAGUGGUGGCGGGGAGGGAGGCGCUGACGGAGAGACCCAUGGCUCACCACUUAUUGCGUGUACACAAGGCCUGGGGCAAGCCUCACAAGUCUACCAUUUCUUCCACUCAACUGUGCUUCUCCUGAAUCCAUGUGCCUGAAAUGACAUAUGCAAGGUGAACAUUCUUUAUACUGUGUUAAUACUGCUUAUAUCAAUGUUCGUGAGGGGUGUGUGGGGGAUGGGGUGCAGCAGGAAAAUUAGAAUGGCAGGAGGUUCUUAUUUAUUAUUAAGCACUGUUGACCAAACCUCUAUCUUAGAUUUUUUUUUUUUUUUUUUUGAGACAAGAGUCUCACUCUGUUACCCAGGCUGGAGUGCAGUGGUGCAAUCUCAGCUCACUGCAACCUCUGCCUCCUGGGUUCAAGCAAUUCUCCCACCUCACUGGGCCUCCCAAAGUGCUGGGAUUACAGGAGUAAGCGACCACGCCCGGCCAACCAAACCUCUAUCUUAGAUGUUAAAGAAGACCCUUAUUGACUACACUGGCCAAGAAGCAACAGAGAUAUAAAGCUGAAUCUUGUAGCUAACCCCUGAAAGCAAGCCAACGCAAAUUCCUCCGCCAGGCCAGUCUUCUAGUGCCAAUAUGGAGACUGUGGGCCACAGAAGAUUCCCUUCUAUUUCAGGUUCUCAAAAAGUGGUGUAGACUCAGGCAAAUGCCAGGAAAUGUGUCCAUAUGCCAGAGGAGACACAGAGCCAGAAAUGAAGGCUAUGGGUCCUGUCUUCAGUGAAACACUGAACGCUCUCGGAAAGCUCCCAUCAUUCUUGCAUCGCUACUGCCACCAAGACGGUGGCAAGGGAGGAGGCUAACUUUCAAAUGCAUGCAACGGCAGGUAAUAUACUGUGGAAGCUGGAGGUUUACUUUUCAUGUUUUAGUUACUUUCUUGCAAACAGCAGUCCAGGAAAGCAAGCAAGCAGGUAAAACUCCGGGUGUGCAUGAGGAGAUGAUCCAAGGCCAGUGGGCCUCCCAGUGAGAACCAAACAGGAGUGGCCAGGCUCCACUCCUGGGGCCAGAGUGAAACCGGGGUUUAAUCACUGGGCUAUGUGGUCUCUGUGUCUCUGGCCUGAAUGAGAUCUCUUCAAUGUCGGGGGACAGGGUUCCCAUGUAAGUCACUCAGCUCCAUGUCAUCCUUUCGGCGCUUCUGGGUGAAGAGGGAGGCGACAGGGUAGAGCUUGGCCUUGGCCUGGAAGCGGUAUCCCGCGAUGUCAAUCUCAUACUCUCCCCGGUUGAUGAAAUCUGCUGUCACCACUUGCUCUUCCCCCGUGUCCUCAGAAAAAUUGUGCACAAAGCCCAGGCAAACGUGGCGCUCCAGGCUGUAGCUGUAGGCACUGCUGGUGGUCUUGCCAACAUACUGCCCAUUCCGGUAAAUGGGCUCUCCCCACCAAGGCCAAAGGUCUAGGUCUGAAUCAUGGUCGUCCAGGAUGAACAUGGUGAGGCGUUUAUACACUCCAUUCUGCUUCUGCUGCAGGAGGGCGUCGCGACCAAUGAAAUCCAU